AGCCCGGUAGCUUAACUGGCAGAGCAGCGGCUUCCAAACCCGCCAGGUGAUGGUUCGAAUCCGUCCCGGGUUG
rnacentral:tRNA from 1 species